GGGUUUUGCUAAGUGUAAGAGUUAAAGUUGGGGGACACUGAGGCAGUAUAAAUUAGUUUCUCUCUGCAAGGAGUAUUAUAUUUUUAGAGGUUUAUUAAAGGAUUAAAGAAAAUACAGAAUAAGAGAACACGUGUCUAGGCCUCUGGCCUAGACAACCUCACCUACAUUAUGAAAAGAGUCUGCGUGUAAGCUGAAACAGGAAAGAAAAGAGAGGCCCAGAAGCCUUUCCAAUCAGGUUAAAUACCCCAUCUUGAUCUCGGCCCAGGUGAGAAUUCCGUGAUAUUACAAAGCAUUCUGGGGAAGUGGAGCAAGGACUUCUGGGGAUUGAAGUCCUGGACUCAAGUCUCCAUUUUUACAUAAGUUAGUGACAGGAGUAUGAAUCCUGUCAGACUGUCAGACUGCCUUGGGUGGAACCUUGUGCUAAGGUCUUGCUUAGGAAUUCUGAGACACCCAAGGAAUUGGAAGUUCUGUUAAGCCCAACUGUCUCUCUCUGCUGGUGUUCCCUGCCCAGAGAGAAGGCUAAAGCUUUGGCUCCUGGGAAUUCCUUGAACUGGCCUGACAGUUUUGGAAAGAAGAGAAAGUUGGAAGUUUUGGGAAGAGCUGUGAAAAAAUCACUAGAUAGCUGUCAUCUUUGAUUUUUCUUAAAUUGUGUCCAAGAAUUUGUAAAUAGGAAACAAGACAAUACAGUACAAAAUAAUAUAUCAAAUUAUCAGGGAACAAAUAGAGCAACCUGGUUCUAUGGCAUCUGCAGAGUGCUACACCAACAGACAAAACAAGAUCAUCAUUUCUUGUCUUAUGUAUGGUGCCAACAACCCUAUGGUCAAGUAGACAUCUCUGCAGUGAAAGUAGAAACUGAGGAUGACAUCAUGAAGAUGGCCUUCGUAUUAAAGCAGGUUAAAAAUCCUCCAAAGCAUCUCUCAGAAGUCCCUAAAAAUGAGAUUGUGUCAGGAUGACAGCUUCAUAGUGAGAACUCAAAUUUUGGAUGUUCUUUAAAAAAAAUAAAUGUUUGAUUUUAUAGGAGAGAACA
rnacentral:lncRNA from 1 species